AUUGAACGCUGGCGGCAGGCCUAACACAUGCAAGUCGAGCGGAGCGGCGGACGGGUGAGUAAUGACUAGGAAUCUGCCUGGUAGUGGGGGAUAACGUCCGGAAACGGGCGCUAAUACCGCAUACUAUCAGAUGAGCCUAGGUCGGAUUAGCUAGGUGGUGGGGUAAAGGCAUACCAAGGCGACGAUCCGUAACUGGGCUUAGAGGAUGUUCAGUCACACGGGAACUGAGACACUGGACAGACUCCUACGGGAGGCAGCAGUGGGGAAUAUGGGGCAAUGGGCGAAAGCCUGAUCCAGCCAUGCCGGGUGUGUGAAGGAGGUAUUGGGAGCGUAAAGCACUUGAAGUUGUGAGGGGUUAGCAACAGAAUAAGCACCGGCUAACUUCGUGCCAGCAGCCGCGGUAAUAC
rnacentral:rRNA from 1 species